GCCUACGGGAGGCUGCAGUGAGGAAUAUUGGUCAAUGGGCGCAAGCCUGAACCAGCCAUCCCGCGUGCAGGAAGAAGGCGCUAUGCGUUGUAAACUGCUUUUGCAGGGGAAGAAUGUUCUGUAUGUAUACGGGAUUGACGGUACCUUGUGAAUAAGCAUCGGCUAACUCCGUGCCAGCAGCCGCGGUAAUACGGAGGAUGCGAGCGUUAUCCGGAUUUAUUGGGUUUAAAGGGUGCGUAGGCGGAUAGAUAAGUCAGUGGUGAAAUACUGCAGCUUAACUGUAGAAUUGCCGUUGAUACUGUCAGUCUUGAGUAUGGUUAAGGUAGGCGGAAUGUGUAAUGUAGCGGUGAAAUGCUUAGAUAUUACACAGAACACCGAUUGCGAAGGCAGCUUACUGAGCCAAAACUGACGCUGAGGCACGAAAGCGUGGGGAGCGAACAGGAUUAGAUACCCUAGUAGUCUC
rnacentral:rRNA from 1 species